rnacentral:rRNA from 1 species
AGGACGAACGCUGGCGGCGUGCUUAACACAUGCAAGUCGAACGGUGAAGCCCUUUCGGGGUGGAUCAGUGGCGAACGGGUGAGUAACACGUGAGCAACCUGCCCUUGACUCUGGGAUAACUUCGGGAAACCGGAAGCUAAUACCGGAUAUGACACGCGGAGGCAUCUCCUGUGUGUGGAAAGAUUUAUUGGUCAAGGAUGGGCUCGCGGCCUAUCAGCUAGUUGGUGGGGUAAUGGCCUACCAAGGCGACGACGGGUA